UUUUAUUCUCUAUCUUCAUUAUUUUUCUUAUUUUUCUUAUUUCCCAUGCUGUUAACUUUCUUUCUCUAUUCCGUUCAUCAUCAAUUCUUCACCAUCAUCAUCAAUCGCCCAAUUCAACACUUAUUCUCAGAAUCUUCAUCUUAGGCUGGCUUCCAAAUAUGAAUGAUAUUUUCUACAUUCAUGGUAGUUUGCUGAGAAGAUUUCAUCUAUUUAUCUAAUCUUCAUCGAAUUCGGCAACACCUUGAAUGUGGCAGCAUUGAUGUUCCAAUCGCAGCUUUAUGUGAGUCUCUCUUACUCUUCUUCCUUUUUUCCUCUGGCAACUUAUUAUUGUGUUGCGUGUGAGGUGUUUGAUAAUUUGACUCAAUGAAAUUUUACUCUAUUAUUUUGCAAUUGUGUGCUUAUCCAGGAAUUAGGUGGAUGAACUGUUAUUUCCGUAUUAGACGAUGCCACUGCCGUGUGAGUAUCUCCCAACAAAUUUGUUUAAAUUUCAAAAUGAUCCUUUAAAUUGAAAAUCUUCGUUCACGUAUGUGAUAUUUUGAACUCUCCACCGAUGCAAAGUGAGUCUGAAGGUAAAUAUUAUUGUCCCCCUUGUUUCCAUUAUGUCUGUAUGUUAUCUACAUCAAUAGGUAUGUACACACUGAAUAUAUAUAUACAGAAAAAUAAUUUUUGCUGCACCAACGGUAGAUAAAAGUGAAAUACUGGCUCUUGUAGGCGAUAAGAUGGAUUCUUUGAUCCUUUAUAAUCUAUGAUUAAAUGGUUGCGUUAUUGAUGAGUCAUAAUUAUGCAUUUCGCAUUGAACUUAGGAAUAAAACGAUUAAUUCUUAAAUCAAGUAGAACUUCUCUUUCAUGAAUGUUGUGUUCAAUAAUCGGUGAUUAGCUAUUUGAAAGUCAUCACUGCAUUUGUUGGUAUCAUAUGAAGUUGUCCAUGAUGGUGAUUAUGAUCUGUUCAAUUUUAGGGCUCAUUCUAUUUCUAUGCAUCCUGAUAACUUAUAUGGGCAUAUGCAGAAUUACUGAAGUGUCCACGAAAAUAGAACCAGUGCAGGAGAAAAAAUAAAGAGCUUAGCACAAAUAGGAUUUUUGAAGUUAUUUAGUGGUUGCCUUAUCGCAUUUGAAGGUUUGCAGGUUAUUUCUUUGUUUACCCUUUGAAUCUCUUUGAUAUUGCUGAAUAAUAACUGUAGUCUCUUAGAUAGAUCUACUCAAUAGAUAAAACUUGGACAAAGUAAAGUAUAUGCAAAAUCAGAACUCUACCAAAUCCACCAACUUCCAAUAGCCCCUUUUCCAUGAAACCCUUUGUAGCAAAGUAUAGAUCUUUGAACUUAAAUCUAUGAGGGCCAUAUUCAUGUUCCCAAUCUUCAAGAAUCUCAGCAAACAUCUUCCGUUUGAUAUAAUAUAUAACCCUAAAGUUAUCAUGAAUAGCGAACUAAGCAAAAUCAAAGGCAACCCAACAGUUAAAAAUUUAGACUUUUUUUUUUCUCAUCAAAUAUACUUAGCUCAGGAGCAAAUAUUCUUGGCUCAGGAAGUUCAGAGAUUUCAAGGUUUUGAGCUUGGCUAUUAACCUUAAAACUCCAACCAAGAAUAUAAUGAGAAGCUACAAUUAACCCUGUUGAAGAUGAGAAUCCAACAUACAUUCUAUUGUUGAGUAUUGGAGAAAGAUCUUUGGUCAAUGAUAACAAAGGUUGUGUUGGUUUAUCACUAAAACCAACACUAAUUGGAGCUAAAGUAACAUCAUAAUAUCCAUACCUGCAUAUCCACUGGAAAGGGAUAAAUUCCUGAAUCCAUAAUCAUCAUAAUAUCCUGCAGGAGUUGAAUUAGCUGAUUUCAAAUCAUUGAUAUCAAUACCAAUAUGGUUAUCAUUGAUUUCAUCAAACUCAAAAUUUUGAUCAGUGUCAAGCUCAAUACCAAAAACAUGGCUGCUACUGUUUCCAUUGUUGGAAUUGUUAGAGACCAAGGUAUUAAUAUUGUAGUGAAUUUGGUAGCCCUUUUGUAGGUGAAAUAACAAAAACAAUUCCAUGGCCACUAUGAGUUGGAUAUUAAGAUUUUAUAGCAAAUAAAGAAUUAGUUGAGAAAGAAGACACACUUUCACUGAGUGUUUUUGAAAACUAUAGGAUUUGGAUAGAAAGCAUUGCCAUCAAGAUAUAAAUGUGAUGAUUGGAAUCCACUUUAUUUAUAGAUAAAGCAACAUGAACACAAGUCUGAGGAACAUGAUUAUAGUUUGAGAAUGAAUCAUGCUUCUGUAGUUCUGUUCGAGUGUUCGGUGUUUAUUAUUUAUAAGAUUUUGUGCUAAGUGAAGGAAAAAUUGCAUGUCUAAUUCGGGUCCUACUAAGAAAUUUCCUAGAACCUAGCUACGAAUUAUUACUAAAAGAAACAUCACAUGGUUACUAAAAUUGCCUUAUCAUCUGGGUCCUACUAAGAAAUGUCUCAUUUAGUUUAGUGAAGAGAAUGUGUUAUACAUUUGAAUCACAAUUUUUUUUUAUUUUUUUUCCAACAGUAGUAGUGGGUGAAUGUUUUUUUAACAUUUACAUAUUAAGUGUUUGAUGCUAAAUUGAAUAUGUGAAAUUUAAUUAUCAAUGUGUUCUAAUUUCUUAGAAUAAGUAGUGUUUUUUUUUAAUCCUGAAUGUGUGGACUUGACCAGUUACUAUUGAUUAUUGAUUAUGCUUCAAAUCAAAUGAUGAAUGAAUAUGUGGUGGAAAGAUAAAAAGAUAUAUGUUGGUUUGACUCAAUUUCAUACUCACUCCGUCUCUAAAUAUAAGACUCCUCUACAAAUUACUAAAUACAUUUAUUGCUCUUUUUUUUCCAAUAUACUAUCAAUUUAUCUAAGAAUAUGAAAAUUAACUUUGAAUGCACUUUUAUAAAAAGGGUAAUUUAGAAAUAGUAACACACAUUUCAGACAAAUUUAUUACUCGAAAGACUUUUUUUAGUACCCGUGAUUUUUGUAAAGUGUUCUUCUAAAAAAGGAUGGAGGGAAAAUUUUUCUUCAUGCAAAAAUCAUGGUGAAAUUUCGAGCCACAUGUUCCAUCGGUCACAUGUGUUGGCAAAUUGCAGGGAGAUGGAGGCAAAUCACCGGGUAAUUUACUCGUGAUUGACAGCUAUAAAAUACAAUUUUAGACCUGGUUGUUUUGCAAUCUUUCUACUCUAAAGGAGUUAAGGAACUAAUAGGGUGAGGGUUGAGUGUUUUGCAUGAUAUUCUUAUGUUGGAAAACAUCAUGAGAUCUCAUUAGAGUAAAUAUCAAACUCUUUUUCUAGUUUUCUCCUUAGAUCUCAAUUUAGGUUUUAGUGACUUGAAAAAUGGAUAGAAAUUAGAGAUUGUUCUUAUUGUCUACAAGAAUGGUAAAGGUAUUCUUUACCUAGGGCUUUGGUCAAUUUACUCUCAAAUUGUUUCAAACAAACUAAUUUGGCUGAAAUUUUUUUAAUUUCAGGGAUCAUUUUAGAAGUAUGAGUAAUUUGGUUGAAAUUCUUUUAAUUUCAGGGAGAUGAAUGGAAAAUUGAAAUUUAUCACAGCAUUCGUUGGUAAAGUAUGAAGUCGUCCAUGAUAGUGAUUAUGAUGUGUUCAAUUUUAGGGCUCAUUCUAUACAUCCCGUUAACUUAAUCUUAUAUGUGCAUAUGCAGAACUACUGAAGUGUUGAAGAAAAUCGAACGAGUAAAGGAGAAAAGAUGAAGAGCUUGUUUGAGUCUUUAGAACAAAUAUAAUUUCUGAAGUUAUUUAGUGGUUGCCUUAUUGCAUUUGAGGUUUUGCAGGUUAUUUCUUAGUUUACCCUUUGAAUCUCUGUGAUAUUACUGAACAAUAAUUGUAGUCUCUCGUUUACUCAAAAUAGAUACAAACUUGGACGCAAUGAAGUAUAUACAAAAUCAAAACAAAAAAAGUUUAAUGAGAAAAUGAUUUUAUGUAACUAUUAAACCAUUUACUCAAACAUGAUUUCACUUUUUAGAUAACAAACUCUCUUUAAUCCUUUUUACCAAAAUUUAAUACAUUACAAAAUCAAAAUGCACCAAUUAAGCAUCAAUUAGACGUGUCUUUUGAAAUCAACGACCACCCGAGAGAACAGAUUCAGCAAUUAACGCUGAAGUAUAUGGCAUUCUCCUGUCCUCAACAAAUAAUUGGUACCCAAAAGUUAAACCAGAAGAAGAUAAACUAAGCGAAGAAAAAUCUGGCAAAGGUGUAUCCCUCUCCAAAUACUGUACAACUUGUCUCAUACUUGGUCUAGCCAAAGGCUCUGAAUGUGAACACAACAAGCCAAGUUUCAACACCAAUUCCACCUCUUCAGACACAUAAUUUGUUCCUAAAUGAACAUCUUUUGCCUCAAGAAUCUCACCUCUUUGCCAACAUUCAAACACAGAAUCAACUAGAAUUAGACUCUCAUUGUCUCCUACACGACCUAUAGGCCUCCUACCACAAACAACCUCAAGAAGAAAUGCACCAAAAGAAAACACAUCAGAAAAUUUAGUAGCCUUACCUCUUCUAAUAUGUUCAGGAGCAAGAUAACCAAUAGUUCCAGCCAAAUGAGUUGUGUGAGGAUCAGCACCAUGAUCAUGCAACCUUGAAAGACCAAAAUCUCCCAAUCUAGCAUUAAAUCCAGAAUCUAACAACACAUUACUAGCCUUUAUGUCUCUAUGAAUAACAACUUUCUCCCAUUCUUCAUGAAGAUAAACCACACCUGAAGCAACACCUUUGAUGAUUCUAAAUCUUUGACUCCAAUUCAACCUCACUUUUGGUUGGUUAUAUAGAUAGUUGUCUAAACUUCCAUUCGGCAUGUAAUCAUAAACCAAAAGUAACUCGCUUUUUCGCCUGCAAUAGCCAUGAAGUUGAACAAGAUUCCUGUGCCGAAGACGACCGAUACUAACAAUUUCCGACACAAAUUCCCUCAUCCCUUGUCUUGAUUCAUGAGACACCCUUUUCACAGCAACCUCAAGUUUGGAACUUUGUAUCACACCUUUGUAGACUCUACCAAAUCCACCAACUCCCAAUAGCCCCUUUUCCCUGAAACCCUUUGUGGCUGAGUAUAGAUCUUUGAACUUAAAUCUACGUGGGCCAUAUUCAUGUUCCCAAUCUUCAAGAACCUCAUCAAACUUCUUCAAUUUGACAUAAUACAUAACCCCUAAAGUUAUCAUGAAUACCAAACUUAGGAAAAUCAAUGGCAAUCCAACAGUUAAAAAUUUCGACUUUUUUUUCUCUGCAGGUAGUUUAGGAAGUUCAGAGAUUUCAAGGUUUUGAGCUUGACCAUUAACCUUAAAACUCCAACCAAGAAUAUACUGAGAAGCUACCAUUAACCCUGUUGAAGAUGAGAAUCCAACAUACAUUCUAUUGUUGAGAAUUGAAGAAAGAUCUUUGGUCAAUGAUAACAAAGGUUGUGUUGGUUUAUUACUAGCACCAACACUCAUUGGUGCUAAAGUAACAUCAAUCUUUUUCUUCACUCCAUCAUAUUCAAUCCAUACCUGCAUAGGGUAUCCACUGGAAAGGGAUAAAUCCUUGAAUUGACCAUAACCAUCAUAAUAUCCUGCAGGAGUUGAAUCAGCUGAUUUCAAAUCAUUGAUAUCAAUUCCAACAUGGUUAUCGUUGAUAUCAUCAAACUCAAAAUUUUGACGAGUGUCAAGCUCAACACCAAAAACAUGGUUGCUACUGUUUCCACUGUUGGAAUCGUUAAAGAGACCAAGGUAUUGACUUGGUAGUGAAUCUGGUAGCCCUUUUGUUGGAGAAAUAACAAAAACAAUUCCAUGGCCACCAAUAUUUGCAUAUUGAGGUAUUAUGGCAAAUAAAAAAGUAGUUGAGAAAGAAGACACGCUUUCACUGGAAGUGUUUUUGAAAACUAUUGGAUUUGGAUAGAAACCAUGUCCUUUGUCUCUUUCUGUAUCAUUGGUGAGUUUUAGUAAGCCAUUUGUAGUUAACUCAGCAAUACCAUCAAGAUAUAAAUGUGAUGAUUGGAAUCCAUUAUAUAUGAAACUGUUGUCUUCACUUGCAACCAAUGUAACAUGAAAAAACAACAUGAACACAUGUCUGAGGAACAUGAUUAUAGGUUGUGAAUAAUAAUGCUUAUACAGUUCGGUUCAUUGUUUCUUAUUUAUUAUUUUUUAUUUAUAAUAUUUUGUCCUAUUGCUAGUCUCAUUUGGGACCUACUAAUAAGUGUCCCUUUACCUAACUUAGCUACGUAUUAUCACCAAAAGAAACAUCAAAUCAAAUGGUUACUAAAAUUGCGUAUCUCAUUUGAGUCAAUUUAAGUGGUGGAAGGAUGGAUAAAGAUAAUGUUGGUUUUGACUAAAAUGACUGGGGCAGUUUUUAAAGGAGAUAAUUUUUAGGAAACUUGGAAGUUAAGAGUUGAGUUGGAAAGAUUCUUUCUUCCUCUAACAUAGGUCAUUUUGGGCCGAAUUAGGUAAACAAUUUGAAAAUCGCUCUUUAAGCUUGAAAAAUUGUUCUCUUGCACCUUAAAAUUUCAUUAAUACCCCCAACAGCAAUGAAUUAUCGUCGCUACCCAGCAGCAGUUAAUUGUCGUUCGGUCUUUUUGCAACCACAAUUGUGUUCAACUGCAGUUGCGUUCGAGACUUAUUCUAGAACAGUAACAACACGUGUUCUGGAUUUAUUUUAUAAAAGCAAAAAUAGUUAUCACUUUUGUUUGAAACACAAAACUCCAAUCUCACUCAAAUGAAUCUCAUCCAAUUUCUUUCAUCAAAAUCAAAAGUUAUCAACUAUUCUACAAGUAAGUGUUAAUAAUCUCUUCUAUUCACAUUGUUAGUUUUAUAUAAUUUUUUUUCCUUCAAAAUUUGGUGGAAAUGUUAGUGUUUAUGAUUGGAUAAAUUAUUGAUAUUUUGGGUAGUCUGUGAUCCUAUAUAUGCAUGUUUUGACUAUAAAUGUUGUUUAAACUAAAUUUAAGUUCAAUGUUGUAGUUUAAAAGUUGAAAUAACACAAUGAAUAAAUGUUGUAUAUUUUGUACUACAAGCGUUUGAUGAAAUGCUUGAAUGAGUUUUUCAUUGAUAUUUUUAUUGUCUUUUGUUGUGUAGAUAUGACUGAGAACCUACAUAUGCGUAAAGAGACCAUGACAAGCAGUUCCCGCAAGGAGAGAGUGACAGUGAACCCUACUAAAAUCUGCAUUUCCAACGAUGUACGUCACAAACUGCCAAUGCAUUUAACCAAAUUUUUAGCAUUCUUUCUAUUUAAUUAGUUUUUCUUAUACUUUGUCUAUUUGAUCUUUUUAUCAAUUUUAAUUAUUCAGAUAUAGAUUGUUUCUUUCUACAUCUGCUGCACAAUUCACAAAUCAUGAUUUUGAUGAUGUGAUCAUCAAGGUUGGCUAGGAUAAGAAGAUUUUUGCAUCUAGUAUAUAUCUUUGAAAUGGAGAUAACUUGAUUUCCUUUCCUUACAGUAUUUUUUUAUUUUUUUAAAUCAAGGAGUAACCUUUGCGCAAAUCCUUGACGAAUCCCACGGGGUAACUGAGAUCCAAUAAUCAACGAAUGAGCUAUUUUUUAUACACAUAGUCCAGGUACCCUAAAACAAAUGUUUAAGAGACUCAAAUAUCUACCACAGUACCAGUUAUGCCACAUAUAUUGGAUGUUUCUUUAGAAUGGAUGAUUUGUAUAGAAAAGCCGACUGCAAAGGAAAAUUCAAAUAAAAACUCGUGAAUUAAUAUGUUGAAGUGUGAUUUAACAAUAAAAAAUUUAUAAGCAAAGUAAAUUAAAUAAAAUGCCUAAAAAUCCAUCUAUUCCAAUCAACUAAAUACCUUUCUGCAAAUGUAAAAAUAAUUCAAAGCAGCUACGCAACGCGCAGGUCAAAAUCUAGUUAAUCACAUAAUGUCCAUGUAUUAUGUAUAUGUACACAUAAAUCAGUGUUUUAUACCAGUGCAUUGUGGCCGGUUUACAGAUUUCAGUUUGCAGAGUGUUAUAUAGCCAGUGCUGUCAAAUUUAGAGGCGCUAUAGUGCUGCCGAAUAGAAGAAUUUGACCAAAUUGCUAUUGUUCCGUAAUAAAGCCCUUUUGUACAAAAUGUUGUCAUUAAUAAUGGCUAUAGAAGCACUAUAGUACCGUACCAUAGUAGAAUUUGAACAAACCGCUAUGCUGCAACAUUCAACACUGGUUAUAUAGUCACUGGUCAGUUAUGGUAUUUCCGGCUCGUAUUGACAUUUUUUGGCACCCCCACUGGUUGUUAGCAUUUUCGACUACUCAGCCUCAACCACACACAUUCUUCUUCUUCUUAAUCCUUUGUAUACUCAUUUGUUCAUACUUCUCUUUGCAACUUGUCUUUUUCUUUAACCCUACAUUCUUGCUCUGCAGCAACUCAAUCCCCCAUUGUUCUGUUUUUCUAUACUAGGUUGUUAAUUAUGAAUGUCUGUAAUUUUGUGUAACUUUUUUUUAUUUCUUUGAAAAUUUAUUUACAUAAAGCAUAAAAUAUUUAUGUUGGAUAUAUAAUCUUUGGUAUAGAGUUAUAUCAUCAUCUACUAUCUCUCAGUAGCGUUCGUGGGAUCUAUUACAUGUAUCAAAUGACUGCAUAAUAUUUACCAUGGGCUACAUCUAUGAAUAUAAAUUAAAACUCACGUACCUACCUAUUAGGAGAAAGAGACUACAUUAAAACAUAAACACUACAUAAAACUCGUGUAUCUAUUACACUAUUAACUCAAAUAUGAUUUUACAUUUGAUUUAACAAACUCUCCUUAAUCCAUUUUACCAAAAUCUAACGACAACCAGAGAGAAUUGAGUCGGCAAUAGACACAGAAGUCUGUGACAUUGUGUUGCCCAUAGAGGAAGGAUAAGACAAAGGAAAGUCCUCAAAAAAUUCUUGGUACCCAAAAGUUAAUCCAGAAGAAGAUAAACUAAGCAAAGACAAAUCUGGCAAAGGUAUAUCCCUCUCCAAAUACUGCACAACUUGUCUCAUACAUGGUCUAGCCAAAGGUUCUGAAUGUGAACACAACAAUCCAAGUUUCAACACCAACUCCACCUCUUCAGACACAAAGUUUGUCCCCAAAUUUACAUCUUUUGCCUCAAGAAUAUCACCUCUUUUCCAACACUCAAAUACACAAUCAACCAAAAUUACACUUUCAUUUUCCCCAACAUUAGAAAUAGGCCUUCUACCACAAGCAACCUCAAGAAGAAAUGCACCAAAAGAAAACACAUCAGAAAAUUUAGUAGCCUUACCUGUUCUAAUAUGUUCCGGAGCAAGAUAACCAAUAGUUCCAGCCAAAUGAGUCGUGUGAUGAUCUGCACCAUGGUCAUACAACCUUGAAAGACCAAAAUCUCCCAAUCUAGCAUUAAAUUCAGAAUCUAACAACACAUUACUAGCUUUUAUGUCUCUAUGAAUUACAACUUUCUCCCAUUCUUCAUGAAGAUAAACCACGCCUGAAGCAACACCUUUGAUGAUUCUAAAUCUUUGACUCCAAUUCAACCUCACUUUUGGUUGGUUGUAUAAAUAUUUGUCUAAACUUCCAUUCGGCAUGUAAUCAUAAACCAAAAGUAACUCGCUUUUUCGCCUGCAAUAGCCAUGAAGUUGAACAAGAUUCCUCUGCCGAAGACGACCGAUACUAACAAUUUCCGACACAAAUUCCCUCAUCCCUUGUCUUGAUUCAUGAGACACCCUUUUCACAGCAACCUCAAGUUUGGAACUUGGUAACACACCUUUGUAGACUCUACCAAAUCCACCAACUCCCAGUAGCCCCUUUUCCCUGAAACCCUUUGUGGCAAAGUACAAAUCUUUGAACUUAAAUCUAUGUGGGCCAUAUUCUUGUUCCCAAUCUUCAAGAAUCUCAGCAAACUUCUUCCGUCUGAUAUAAUACAUAACCCCUAAAGUUAUCAUGAAUAUCAAACUUAUCAAAAUUAAAGGCAACCCAACAGUUAAAAAAUUUGAUUUCGUUUUCUCAGCUAAUACUGGUAACUCAGGAAGUUCAGAGAUUACAAGGUUUUGAGCUUGACCAUUAAUCUUAAAACUCCAACCAAGAAUAUAAUGAGAAGUUAGAAAUGAACCAGUAGCUGAUGAAAAUCCAACAUACAUACUAUUGUUAAGAAUUGGAGAAAGAUCUUUGGUCAAUGAUAACAAAGGUUGUUUUGGUUUAACAACAUUAAUUGGAGCUAAAGUAACAUCAAUCUUUUUCUUUUCACCAUCAUAUUCAAUCCAUACCUGCAUAGGAUAGCCACUGAUAAGGCUUAUAUUCUUGAAUUGACCAUUACCAUCAUAAUAUCCUGCAGGAGUUGAAUUAGCUGAUUUCAAAUCAUUGAUAUCAAUACCAACAUGGUUAUCAUUGAUAUCAUCAAACUCACGAUUUUCAAUAGUAUCAAGUUCAACACCAAAAACGUGGUUGCUAGGAUUUCCAUUGUUGGAAUCGUCAAAGAGACCAAGGUAUGAACCUUGGAGUGAAUUUGGUAGCCCUUUUGUAGGAGAAAGAACAAAAACAAUUCCAUGGCCACUAUAAGUUGGACCUUGAUGUCUUAUGGCAAAUACAAAAGUAGUUGAGAAUGAAGAAACACUUCCAUUGGAAGUGUUCUUCAAAACUAUAGGGUUUGGAUAGAAAGCAUGUGCUUUUUCUUGUUUGGUGUCAUUGGUGAGUCUUAGUAAGCCAUUGGAGGUUAAAUUAGCAAUACCAUCAAGAUACAAAUGAGAUGAUUGGAAAUCAUUAUAGAUGAAACUUUUGUCUUCACUUGGUACCAAUGUAACAAGAAAAAACAACAUAAACACAAGCCUGAGGAACAUGAUUAUAGUUUGUGAAUAAUAAUGCUUAUACAGUUCUGUUCAGUGUUUAUUAUUUAUUAUUUAUUAUGUAUAAGAUUUUGUCCUAGGUGAAGAAAAAAUUGCAAGUCUAAUUUGGGUCCUACUAAGAAAUGUCUUGGAACCUAACUUAGCUAUGAAUUAUCACCAAAAGAAACAUCAAAUGGUUACUAAAAUCGCGUAUCUCAUUUGGGUCCUACUAAGAAAUGUCUCAUUUAGUUUAGUAAAAAUGAACUCAUUUGGGACCAUUUGAAUAGUUGUGCACAUUUGAACUACCAAUUUUUUUCCCAACUGCACAUUUUCAAUGUUUACGUAUUGAGUGUUUGAUGCUAAAUUGAAUAUGUGAAAUUAAAACAUCAAUGUCGUCUAAUUUCUUCAAAUAAGCAUAGUUUUUUUUUUUAAGUUCACACUUGAAUGUGUGGAUUUGACCGAUUACUAUUGAUUAUCUAUGAUUUGCUUGGCUGCUAAGAAAAUGAUGAAUGAAUAAGUGGUGGAGGAUGCAUAAAGAUACCGUUGGUUUUGAAUCAAAAUUUCAUAUUUUUCUUCAUGGAAAAAUCGUAGGCCAAUUAAAGUCAGCCUGUUUCAUUGGUCAUAUGUGCUGGCAAGUUGCAGGGAGAUGGAGGUAAAUCACGAGGCAAUUUACUCAGGAUUGACAACUAUAAAAUUCAGUUUUUGACAUAUUUGUCGAGCAAUCUUUCUACUCUAAAUCAGAGAAUUUUUAAGGAAUUUAGAGGUUCAGAGUAACCUUAAAAAGUAACUUAAUAACAUAACUUUGUUCUCCAAAAACUUUACUGUCUUUUCAAUUUUCUGGUUCUUCUUCAUUUCUUGUCCACCACUUUAUCAUAGCUUCUGUUUUUCACAUAUGCCCACACGACCUAAAAUGAGCUUACCAUUUUUUCUACAAUGGAGCCAUCUCAACUUUUUCUCUGCUGUUUAUUUAAUUUAUUUAAUUCAGGGUUAAAAACCAUGUAAUGGACUAAUUUUAAAACCUAACUUUCUUUUUUAGGUGCUGCACUGUCUGUAAAGAGAAGUGACAUAUUGGCUCUUGCUAUAGGUAUGAUGGACUCUUUGAUCCUCUACAAUCAAUGAUUGGUUUAUUGUGUCAUUCACGGGUGAUAAUUCUGGAUGUCACAAUGAAUGUUGGGAUAAAAUGGUUUGUUUAAAUCGAGUAAAACUUCUGUUUCAUGAAUGGUGUGUUCAUCAACUGGUAACAAUUAUAGCAACUAUAGAAGAAAGGCUUAAGUGGGGUGUGGGUUUUCCUACUAUAGGUGUUUCAAUUGUUUUACAUGCACUGAGGCAUUCUUUAGAAUCAAGUGCAUUUCAGAUAUGGCUCAAUAAAUGUUAUAUUUGAUUUAGACUGAAUCACCAUUUAAGUCUAUAAAUUACAGGGGUUGAAAUUUUUAAUGUUAGUCCUUUUGGGUCGGUCAAUAUAGUCCUUGAAAUUGUCUUGAAGAUACUAAAGUGAUUGAAAAUUUUCAAUUUCAAUGAUCAUUUUAGAAUAUGUUAAUUUUAGGGGCUAGAUUGCAUGAUGUCGUGACCAAUACUAUUAUAAGACUGAAAUAGGUUAUUCGCUCUUUCGUUUUAUGUUAUUUGAUGUGUCUAUGCUAGGUGGUGCUUACCUAAAGAUUCUUGAUGGCUACAUUAGUUCAUAUGUUGUUGCUAUCUGAUGAAUGGAAAAUUUAAAUUUGUUGGUCGAGGGUUGAGUACCUCGAUUGGUUUGAGCUAAGGGUUAAGAAGUUGGAGGUCGUCUGUUCAAAUUUUGGUAAUGUCGACAUUGUCCAUGACAGUGAUUAUAAUUAUGAUGUGUUGUUCAAUUUUAAUAUUUAAGGCUCAUUCUACGCAUGCUGAUAACUUAAUCCUGCCAAGCCCUGUAUAUUAACAUUGAUUAGUUGCUCAAUAUUACAGGUGGAUAUCUAAGCUGUAUUUCGAUGAUAUUCUAGAAAAUACAGAAGCAAAUAUAUGUCUUGUUAUCGAUGCUCGUAUUUGGAGGAUUCUAUAAAUUGAGCCAUCUUCUGCUGCUAGUUCAGGUUGAAGUUGAACUAGUGAUAAAUGAUAAAAAUAAACUAAUGUUGUGCAAAAUUAGUUCAGUGUUGCUUGUAGCUAAAAUGUUAUGCUGCCAUGC
rnacentral:lncRNA from 1 species